UACAGAGGUCUCAAGCGUUGUUCGGAUUCAUUGGGCGUAAAGGGUGCGCAGGCGGCGAGGCAAGUCGGACGUGAAAUCCCGGGGCUUAACCCCGGAACUGCGUUCGAUACUGCUUUGCUUGAGGACUGGAGAGGAGACUGGAAUUCCUGGUGUAGCAGUGAAAUGCGUAGAUAUCGUAAGGAAGACCAGUGGCGAAGGCGGGUCUCUGGACAGUUCCUGACGCUGAGGCACGAAGGCCAGGGGAGCAAACGGG
rnacentral:rRNA from 1 species